rnacentral:lncRNA from 1 species
CUGAGGCAAGCUGCCUUGCGACUUGCGGCUGGACCUGAGAAGGGAGGAGUUACUCAUCCCCUUAAGCUUUCAGGCCCCGGGGCAGAAUCUUACAGUUACCAGUCUAUAAAAGAGACUUUAGUGAAGUUCCAAGACACUAACUAGUUUGAGAACAGCAAGAAGUUCAGUUCCAGCAUAGGACUAAUAGGAAGUAGCUAGGUUAUAAAGCUUUAGAAGUUCAAGAAUAAACACAAUGAGAGGCUUCAGUAGCUAUGAGGACAAGUUUGGUAGACCUGAAGAAAAACCUUGAAAACCCAAAUGACCUUGACUUGACAUUUCCAUAGCUGCAAUGAAAAGCAAAAGAUAUUUGCCAAUGAACAAUAACCUGGAUGCUCAAAG